UGGCUCAGGAUGAACGCUAGCGGCAGGCUUAACACAUGCAAGUCGAGGGGCAUCGGGAGGAAAGCUUGCUUUCCUUGCCGGCGACCGGCGCACGGGUGAGUAACACGUAUGCAACCUGCCCUCUUCAGGGGGACAACCUUCCGAAAGGGAGGCUAAUCCCGCGUAUAUCGGUUUCGGGCAUCCGAGAUCGAGGAAAGAUUCAUCGGAAGAGGAUGGGCAUGCGGCGCAUUAGCUAGACGGCGGGGUAACGGCCCACCGUGGCGACGAUGCGUAGGGGUUCUGAGAGGAAGGUCCCCCACACUGGUACUGAGACACGGACCAGACUCCUACGGGAGGCAGCAGUGAGGAAUAUUGGUCAAUGGGAGAGAUCCUGAACCAGCCAAGCCGCGUGAGGGAAGACGGCCCUAUGGGUUGUAAACCUCUUUUGUCGGAGAACAAAACCCGGGACGUGUCCCGGACUGCGUGUAUCCGAAGAAAAAGCAUCGGCUAACUCCGUGCCAGCAGCCGCGGUAAUACGGAGGAUGCGAGCGUUAUCCGGAUUUAUUGGGUUUAAAGGGUGCGUAGGCGGUCCGUUAAGUCAGCGGUAAAAUUGCGGGGCUCAACCCCGUCGAGCCGUUGAAACUGGCAGACUGAGUUGGCGAGAAGUACGCGGAAUGCGCGGUGUAGCGGUGAAAUGCAUAGAUAUCGCGCAGAACUCCGAUUGCGAAGGCAGCGUACCGGCGCCAGACUGACGCUGAGGCACGAAAGCGUGGGGAUCGAACAGGAUUAGAUACCCUGGUAGUCCACGCAGUAAACGAUGAAUGCUGGUUGUCCGGGUCGAAUGAGACCUGGGCGGCGAAGCGAAAGCGAUAAGCAUUCCACCUGGGGAGUACGCCGGCAACGGUGAAACUCAAAGGAGUUGACGGGGGCCCGCACAAGCGGAGGAACAUGUGGUUUAAUUCGAUGAUACGCGAGGAACCUUACCCGGGCUCAAACGGGAGUGGAAUGGACCAGAGACGGUUCAGCCUACGGGCCGCUUCCGAGGUGCUGCAUGGUUGUCGUCAGCUCGUGCCGUGGGGUGUCGGCUUAAGUGCCAUAACGAGCGCAACCCCCGCCGGCAGUUGCUAACGGGCAAUGCCGAGGACUCUGCCGGGACUGCCGCCGCAAGGCGUGAGGAAGGCGGGGAUGACGUCAAAUCAGCACGGCCCUUACGUCCGGGGCGACACACGUGUUACAAUGGGCGGUACAGCGGGAAGCCAGGCGGCGACGCCGAGCGGAACCCGAAAGCCGUUCUCAGUUCGGAUCGGAGUCUGCAACCCGACUCCGUGAAGCUGGAUUCGCUAGUAAUCGCGCAUCAGCCAUGGCGCGGUGAAUACGUUCCCGGGCCUUGUACACACCGCCCGUCAAGCCAUGGGAGCCGGGGGUGCUUGAAGUGCGUCGCCGCGAGGCGCGCCCUAGAGCAAAACCGGUGACUGGGGCUAAGUCGUAACAAGGUA
rnacentral:rRNA from 1 species